GCCCAGGUGGUGAAAUGGCAGACACGCCAGCCUUAGGAGCUGGUGGGAGCAAUCCCUUGGAGGUUCAAGUCCUCUCCUGGGCA
rnacentral:tRNA from 1 species